UCCUGAAGCUUUUCCUUGGGGAAUCUGAGACAAAAUUUGUUACCAAAAAUUUUGAAGUAAUGCCGACAAAAUGUAGCAAUCAUUUCCCGCAGUGCGUUUCCUAUCAAUAAAUGCUAUAAAUCUUACGAAACAACAGCCGUAGCUCCUCUCUCGCACACUUCGGAUACUAAUCCGACAACUACAAAGCCAUCCUACUUACGCGAACAGCAGCCCGAAAGCAAUCAAGACAAUAGCACUAUAGCACAGUCAUAGUGACUGAACAGAAGUUGGUGGUCGGUCGACGAGUCAAAGUCUCAUGCAAAAAAGUGAAUAAAAAGUGCAUGCUAGUUUGCAAAUAUAUUCGUUGUGCAUAUUGGCGAAUCUCCAGAAGGUAAAAGGGAAAAGGCACUAAAGUAUGUUCAGUUCAGAAGUAAUUCCUUCUCAUAUUAAAGUGACGAAUACGCCACGUGCAAGACAACUCUCGGUGCCAGUUGUACCCCACGUAUUCUAAACUGCACGAUACUUUGCAUGAUUGAGCAGACUGACCAGACCAGACCGAAAAUACCGACCGGGACAUUACCAGGCAUCGCAACCACCCGCCACAUGUUCGAACAAUAGUUCCACUCGCCCUUGAACGAUCGGGAUUUACGGGAGCUCAAUCAUCUGAAGCUGGGAAAAGGCCCUUCACCAGAGAGGGCCUUUUGUCCAUUGCCUAAAGACUGUGCCGCCGAUCACAACCGGCUAGCACACAGCGACACCGUCUCGGAUAGUCCAAUAAAGCCCAUCACCUCAUUGAGCCUUCGUCAUUGGACGAUUAUUCCAACAAAUGCACUCGUGAUCUGUGUGGCAAGCAGAAGUGCAAUAUCGUCUCGCCGAAGAGAGACGUCGCGCUGGGACUCUGUCGCGCUGAGACUUUGUCGCGCUGGGACUUGUCGCGCAACAUCUUCGGUGCGAGAGAGCAGGGAUGGGAAAUGUACUGUAGCAAACAUUAACCACCUCGACAUUCACAUUUUUCUACACGACCAUCAA